rnacentral:rRNA from 1 species
UAGAAGUAUGGAGGGUGAGGCCUGCCCAAUGGUUGUAUCUAAAAACGGUUGAUAAAAGUCGACUUCAUAAGGACAAUUGAAUGGCCGCGGUAACACUGACCGUGAUAAUGUAGCGUAAUCAAUAGCCAAUUAAUUGUUGGCCAGUAUGAAUGGCGUCACGAAGGCCCCACUGUCUUAAGAGAAUUCCCAGUGAAAUUGAAUUCGUAGUGAAGAUGCUACGUCCAAUUUGUCAGACGAAAAGACCCCAUUGAGCUUUACUGGAGACUUACAUUGCUCGGAUCAACUCUCGCCCCCCCCUUGGCGGGGGGUCGAAUUUAAAUGGAUAGCUUAGAUUAUGUGGUGUUAUAACCGUCGAUCAAGUAGUCCCUACGGGAUUGCCCCCGAAGGUUGACCUGUUUGGGUGAAUGAAACCCCACUCUUUUUUGUUAAAUGAGCUAACCCCUUAAAGGGGGACAAUGUAAGUUGGACAGUUUGGUUGGGGCGACCGCCUUUUAAAGAGUAACGAAGGUGUGCUUAAGGUACACAAUCAAUAACACAAGCCUGACUGCGAGGGGGACCCUCCGAGCAGACACCUAAAGUCUUCUCCCUUCCCCCCGAAGGUUAAAGACGAAUGGUGGGUUAUAGUGACCCGUUAAUUUAGAGUGGAAUAGUUAACGAUCAACGAAUAAAAGUUACCAUGGGGAUAACAGCGUAAUAUCGUUAGAGAGUUUACAUCGACGACGAUGUUUGCGACCUCGAUGUUGAA